CUGACAGAAAGAGCAGUGAGC
rnacentral:snRNA from 1 species